rnacentral:tRNA from 1 species
UGGCCCGUAGCUUAGUUGGCAAAAAGUACCCGGCUUUUACCCGGGGGAUCAUGAGUUCGAGUCUCAUCGGGCCAA